rnacentral:rRNA from 1 species
CCCUUAGAUGUUCUGGGCUGCACGCGCGCUACACUGAUGCAUUCAACGAGCCUAGCCUUGACCGAGAGGUCCGGGUAAUCUUUGAAACUGCAUCGUGAUGGGGCUAGAUUAUUGCAAUUAUUAAUCUUCAACGAGGAAUGCCUAGUAAGCGUGAUUCAUCAAAUCGCGUUGAUUACGUCCCUGCCCUUUGUACACACCGCCCGUCGCUCCUACCGAUUGAGUGUGUUGGUGAGGAGUUCGGAUUGGCUCUUAGUGGUGGUUCGCCACCACCUAGAGCUGAGAAGUUCUCCAAACCGCCCCACUUAGAGGAAGGAGAAGUCGUAACA